GACGAACGCUGGCGGCGUGCUUAACACAUGCAAGUCGAACGGAAAGGCCCUGCUUGCAGGGUACUCGAGUGGCGAACGGGUGAGUAACACGUGGGUGAUCUGCCCUGCACUUCGGGAUAAGCCUGGGUAACUGGGUCUAAUACCGGAUAGGAGCCAUUUUUAGUGUGAUGGUUGGAAAGUUUUUUCGGUGUAGUAUGAGCUCGCGGCCUAUCAGCUUGUUGGUGGGGUAAUGGCCUACCAAGGCGGCGACGGGUAGCAGGGCUGGGCGGGGGGACGGCCAAACUGGGCUGGGGAUACGGCACGGACUAGUAUCGGAGGGAGGGGUGGGGAGGAGUGCACAAUGGGAGGAAGCAUGAUCCAGUGACGCCGCGUGGGGGAUGACGGCCAUCGGGUUGUAUACUCCUUUCGCUUGGGACGAGGCUUUUUGUGACGGUCCCUAGAUAAGAAGCACGGGCAAACUACUU
rnacentral:rRNA from 1 species